UUUCUCUUUUCUCUGGUAGCUGAGAGGACAGGAUGUAAGCCACCUCGGGCAGCCACUCUGAGACACAGAAGGCUGCAAGGUGGACAGCAGCAGAUAGACGCAAGGAAGAAACGUCCUGGUGAUAUUGCUUGAGCUCCUGGAUCCAGCUGUGCACAAGGCAAUUCUACACUCUGGACUUAAGGGAAGUGUGGGCCAACUUUUGCCCAAGUCCGUUUGAGCAUUGUCUCUGUCACAUAGCUGAUUCACUCCUUCCCUGCAGUCUGUCCAGGUUGUCCCUGGGAGAUGCCUUGGAGAAGCCCAGCCCCAGACUUCCAUCCUGAAGAUCUUCAUCCAGGUGUGUUGGGAUUGACUGCUCAGUGCCAGGCACUGUGUUUGCUGCUGAGUGCUGGACAGAGAGGGGAACAAGGCUCAGCCCCUGCCCACAAGGAUCUCGCCAUGCACAACAAAUACACCAGUUGACCAGCUCUCCCACCUGCAGCCUGUGAGCAGUGGCAAGUUUACAGCUUUGACAUCCACUUGAAAGAACAAUGCCAUGCGUGCUUCCACAGUGUACAGAUUUUAAGUUUACAGUGCAAUGAGCUUUGACAAACAUAAACCCCUAUGAAUUACAAGAUUUUGAUACACAGUCAGCUAAUUUAGAGGAAUUGCAAGAGUCCACAGAGUUGUUGGAAAGAGAAUGGAGUUUGGAGUCAAGAGACCUGGUUACCAAGUCAAGCCUCACAUUAACCAGCUGUGUGACUUUGGGCCUGUGCCCUCGCCUCUCUAGGCCUUGGUUUCUGAUCUGUUCAGUGAAGAGGCUGUCCCUGGGUCCACAUGGCAUAACAGGUAUUGAACAAAGGUCACACAAGAUUCCUGACAUUAUGCAGAGCUACUGUGUCCUGCUGAUAUUUGCAAAAGUGAAUGUGCAUCACCUGGAUCCUGCCAAUCAAAUUGCUGAAGAAGAGAAACUGAAGAAACAAUAACUAUAACAAUAAACAAAGAUGGCAGAAAUCAGCCACACCAAGCCCUACAUCUUGUAGGAAUGUAUCAAAUGCCUGUAAGUAAACCCUUCUCAAAUUUGUUUGCUCUGGUACAUUAAUAAAAGAGGAUUCUGAAAGGAUUAGCUUCAACUUCACCAGUACCCAAAACACCCUGUUUGCCAAAUAGGUUGAGUUUAGCUCUUUUGCUGUUUGGAAUCUAAUGUGCCUUGCUGAAAGAGGAAAGGGCUUCUCUGACAACAUAAGAUGAAUCCCUCCCAUUAUAGAUAGCAUUUUUCACUUUUCAAAGCCUUCUUGUCUAUUUCUUAUUUGUUCUGUACAUCGGUUCUAUGACAGAAAGCAGGACAGGGAUUAUCCCUCCCCUUUUUUCAGGUGAGGAUCCUGAGGCCAGGAAGGAUGAAGUAAAUGUUCUUAGAGUCACCAACGAGCACACCCCUCUGAUUUCCCAGCCCUGUGUUUUUGGGCUGUGCCCCACUCUUUUGCAAACAAAUCAACCAACCCUG